GGCCGGAGGAGGCCAAGAGGUCAGAGGGCAGAACCAGAACUGGACCCGGUGCCACCAUGUUGAAGUGUUAACCAGGUGCAUUCUGGGAGUUGAGACGGAUCAGAUGGUUGUUUGUUGUUGACGUCAAUGAUUCGUUCUGGGAAUCUGGAAAAACAGAUUUCAUGAUCACUUUCUGGAAAGAACCCAUAAAACCCUCUGGUAAUUUUGUUGAGCAACCAGCAUUUCACACCAUGAAGAACUCUUAGAGGUUAUAAAUGAAUGUUCAAACUGAUUGAACUGGUGGAUGAAGAACUGGAGGUUGCAGAGCUGACAGGCUGGAAAACCAUCGAUCUGUCC